AUCGAACGCUGGCGGCAGGCCUAACACCUGCAAGUCGAGCGGAGCGGCGGACGGGUGAGUAAUGCCUAGGAAUCUGCCUGGUAGUGGGGGAUAACGUCCGGAAACGGGCGCUAAUACCGCAUACUAUCAGAUGAGCUUAGGUCGGUUUAGCUAGUUGGUGUGGUAAAGGCCUACCAAGGCGACGAUCAGUAACUGGUCUGAGAGGAUGAUCAGUCACACUGGAAAUGAGAAACGGUCCAGACGCCUACGGGAGGCAGGCGUGGGGAAUAUUGGACAAUGGGCGAAAGCCUGAUCCAGCCAUGCCGCGUGUGUGAAGAAGGUCUUCGGAUUGUAAAGCACUGGAAGUUGGGAGGCGUUACCAACAGAGUAAGCACCGGCUAACGUCGUGCCAGCAGCCGCGGUAAUAC
rnacentral:rRNA from 1 species